AAGACAUUAGUAAAAUGUAUUACACCACCUUGUCAAGGUGAAAUCGUAGGCUAAACCCCUGCAUGUCUUA
rnacentral:tRNA from 1 species